rnacentral:lncRNA from 1 species
ACCAUCUUUUUGCAGCAUAAUCUUUGGAAGGGAGUGAAUGGUAAGUUGGUUGCUUCAUGAGGGUGAUUACACGCUUUCUAAGGUGAUGUUAACUUUGGUGGAGAAAGCUCGCUUCUCUUCUUAAUAUGAAGUGCAAAAGAACCGGGAUGUCCUUGCUGUAACUACACGUUUCUAAUUUGCGAAGAAUAAAAUGGUCCAAGUGUUUUAAACAAGUUGAUAGAUAACAAGUUGAUAGAUAAGUCACUAUAGAAUGUAUACAAACUGAGAAGCUAUAUUUGAUUUUAAAAAUAAAAACAGUGUUGGAAUAGUAAAUGAAGCCACAUGCUAUGGAAAUGGAAAGGGUUCCCUCCCUCCUUCACAUCUGUUACUCAUGACUUGGAAGGCAAAAACAGAAGUAAACUUCUGCAGCAGUGGUAAUCUCUUAAGCCUAAGACCGCACAACGGCCAUACACAAUAAAUUGCUAGUGCAAAUAAAUGCAGCUAGCCAGAAUGAAAGACUAGCUAAAGAUCAACAAUGUGAUCAGAAGCAGCAGAAGGCGCAAUCUGUAAGCAUUCAUACGAACUUGCAGCAAAUAUACAUCAAAGGAAAGUCAUCCAGAUAUCUAAUAAGAUUGUUUCUCCUGUCCAACGCGAAUGAUAUAUAAAGUUGUCCCCAUAAAGAUAAAAAUAAUAAUCGACCCUAAAAUUAAUCAGAUGACUAAAUCCAUCUUAGAAUCUCCCAAUCGUCAUGUAGUGAAUACAAUUUCCCCUUCCUAGCUACAUUUCUACCUUCCCUUGGCAAGGAAAUCAAUUUCAUCUCGUGUCCUUCCAGUAAGAAGAUAAAAAUACAGGUAACAAAAAUAAAACUUGUAGUUUUUCUUAACUUUCAUCCUGAUUAUCCAAAUGAAUGAAAGUUUCCUUACAUGGCAUCCCUCUGCCAGAGGCAUUAUAUGAGUGAUUUGUUUGGGAUCUUUUUGUUUGUUCCAAGAGAUAGAAUGGAUAAACUUUAGUCCUUGCGCAGUUAAUGAACACAAAGGUUUGGUUCAAGAAUAUUUGCUCUCCAUUUUGAGCUCGAGACCUUGGGAAUUAAUCAAACUCCAAUCUAAUUUCAAGCCCUAUUGGUACUGUAAUCGAACACAAAGGUUUGGUUCAAGAAUAUUUGCUCUCCAUUUUGAG